ACGGAGGAUGCAAGCGUUAUCCGGAUUUAUUGGGUUUAAAGGGUGCGCAGGUUGUUUUAUAAGUCAGUGGUGAAAGUCUGCCGCUUAACGGAAGGAUUGCCAUUGAUACUAUAGGACUUGAGUAUGGAUGAGGUAGGCGGAAUGUGUAGUGUGGCGGUGAAAUGCACAGAUAUUGCGGGGAAGACACAUUGCGUAGGCGACUAACAAGGACGUUACUGACGCUGAGGCGCGAAAGUGUGGGGAUCAAAAAG
rnacentral:rRNA from 1 species